CAAUUCUUCGAGUCAAUAAACCCAAAGAAUGAUUUCAAAAGCAAUGAGGAUUUGGAAGAAUACCUCUACAACAAGUCACUCGAGAUUCAACCAAAAGGCCUCGACACGCCAACGGCAGAAUUGGUAGGAUAUUCACUAGCAAAAUGAGCUUGCAGUGAGCUCCGGGAGGUGCUCAGAGCAGCGGAGCACUUGCUCAGGCCGAAAUGAAGUUAUAUUGCCGAUACAUUUUGCCAUCAUAAUUUAACAAAAGUUUGGGAAUUUUCAGAAAAAAAUUACGAACUGAAAUAUAUUGGCAAAAAACAUAUUUUUUUCGGAAAUUCACGUGGUUUCAGACUGUCCCAUUACGGCUUGAUCUACAAAAAAGUGCGGGAAUUUUUUCCCCAAACUAAUAUGACGUCAGCACAUUCUUAACCAUGCAAAAUCAGUUGAGAAGUCUGCGUCAAAAUUCCCGCGAUUUUCGUAGAUCAACCCGAAAUGGGGCAGCCUGCAAGCUCAGUUCUUUAAUUUCACAGAUCCUUCCAUAGUAGAUCAACUCUAAUAUUAAAUGUUCAGAAGCCAAAGCACAAUGCCUCAACACUCCGUUCUCCUGGAGUAAAACCGCCGAAAGCUGCAGGAAAUCACUACUCGGCGAAUCAUCCGAUCGGACUUCAUCUUCAUUCUCAGAAUUCGCAUUCGGCACCACACGCAAUGUCAAGCCAGUCGAGUACGGUGCCAAAUACUCCACUCAGCGCACAUGAGACGAAGAGAAGCUUGUCACAUAAUCAGGACGAUGCUCCUCUCCAACAAUUUGUCGAUAUUCGAUUUGAGAGAAAGGGGACGCAUCCGAAAAUUCG
rnacentral:sRNA from 1 species